rnacentral:rRNA from 1 species
UACGUAGGCAGCAAGCGUUGUUCGGAAUUACUGGGCGUAAAGAGUGUGUAGGCGGUGUUCUAAGUUUGGUGUGAAAUCUCCCGGCUCAACUGGGAGGGUGCGCCGAAUACUGAAUGACUAGAGUGCGGGAGAGGAUAGUGGAAUUCCUGGUGUAGCGGUGAAAUGCGUAGAUAUCAGGAGGAACACCGGUGGUGUAGACGGCUAUCUGGACCGUAACUGACGCUGAGGCACGAAAGCGUGGGUAGCAAACAGG